AUUUCGGUUCCUUUGUAAUUGCGUGUAAGUAUUAAUAAACUUCGCGAAAAAAAUAUUUAGGUUGCGUAGUAACUUUUUUUUCUGACAACAACAACACUAUAACUGUGGUCGUAAAAAUUCCAAUAUUAGAUGAAGAAGAAACUGGGGGAAUACUAAUCAAUAUCAGCCCAACUAUAGCUUGAGACUUGACCAGUGAAGUUUUCUACUCUAACGUAUUAGAUAAAUAAAAUUCUUAGAACUGUAAAGUUUGUUGGUUUUUCAUGACCAUUUUAUUACCACAAAUUACGUCAUAGUUAAAUUUACCCACUUCCUAUACCAACUUGGAAAACGACUACCAAAAAAAUUGAAGUGGGUGAACACAACUAGAGAGAGCUCCUCUUAUCAAGUCACGUAGGCAGUGAUCCAAACUCAGUAUAAAUUCGAAUCACAUCGAGAAGUUGUAUCGAACAAUAAAAGAAAAUGGCAGACCAAUGUGCGAAGAUACCAAAACCCCAAUUACGGAAUUUAUUCCAUAAUCAAACAAAAAUGAAUUUAGCGGUUACGUUCGUGCUUACAGCAGGUGCUGGUCUUCUUUUCCAUUUCUUUCAUAAUGUACAAUACAAAAACCGAACCGCCCAAUACUUUAGAGAGUAUGACAUUGAUAAGGAAUUUGAUGAAAUGAGAGAAAAAGGACUCUUCGAUUCAUGCAAAUAAGGAGUUACCUUAAACAGAUCCGUAGUACAUUAUAUUUAUCUACUCUUAUGAUGUAAUCAAUAAAUGCUUAAAAUAAAUGAACGAUGCUUA